ensembl:lncRNA
ACAACAGAACACUGCUAAGACCAAGGAAAUGGUGGUGGAUUUCCGCAGGUCUAAGCCCACCAUGCUAGAAGUUUCCAUUGAGGGGGUCAAUGUGGAGGUGGGAGGCACAUACAAGUAUCUUGGGGUGAUCCUGGACAAUAAACUGAAUUGGUCUGCCAACACUGACGCAAUCUACAAGAAAGGGCAGAGCCGGCUGUACUUUCUGAGGAGGCUGCGGUCAUUCAACGUCUGCAGCAAACUUCUCCAGAUGUUUUACCAGUCUGUCGUCGCCAGCGUCCUCCUCUACGCGGUGGUGUGCUGGGGAGGAAGCACUAAGGGGAAGGAUGCAACUGGAUAGGCUGGUGAAGAAGGCUGGCUCUGUGGUUGGUGCUGAACUGGAGUGCAUCACUUCAGUCGCCGACAAAAGGACCCUCACCAAACUGCUCACCAUCAUGGACAAUGGAAACCAUCCUCUCCACAGCACGAUCAGUCGACAGAAGAGUCUGAUCAGCAGGAGACGGCGCUCGCUGCCAUGUAGGACGUAGUGUAGUGGAGCUGCCUGCAUCGUUACUAAGCAACAUUGAUGCAACACACGUGACAUGUGAAGGCUUUUCAUACAACGUGAGGAGAUCUGCUCAAGACAAGGAUGUGGCGGCACAUAGCAGGUGUAAGAAAACUCGGAGGGUGGACACACAAAAGACAAAAACUGGCGAUGAAACCAAAAAUGAAGAGGAGACAAAGAAGAAGAAAAUUCAAGAACGGCUGGCUUAUAAUCCAGCAAGAAAGAAAGAAAUGUAUUGCACUGAUUGUAGGAUGUACGGCAGUGAAAAGGUUAAGGGGUCUUUUUUUGUAUUUGGAACAAGCAUUUCCCAAUGGAGACAAUAAAGGACCAUGACAUCUUAGUCCCAGGCGAUACUAAGAUACCAAGACAAGCCCACUUUGAGCCACAUCCAUUCCACGUCAUCAUUCUGAUAUACAUCAUAGGUACACAAUGUUGUAUGUAUUAUACUAUACAUUUAUAUUUGAUAAAUGUUUGAAUUUUUAGUAGCUUUGGAACUACACACGGCAACAACAAAUUGAUUAGCUUUCUGGCUUUAUGUGCCCCUCGUUCAUACAUUUUUGCUGUCUGUGCCAAAUAAAUACAAAUAAGAUUUAAAAGAUAAAUUAGGCUGUAAUGUAGAAUCAGGGCGGGUUGUGUUUGUUGCUCCCUCACCUGUUGGCAAAUUGAUGUUCAUCUUUUAAUACAGAUCCGUUGGUUGAGAUCCCUGCGCUCUAAGAGACAUUGUUCAUUGGGGUCGCUGUGUGUGUUGUGUUAUGCCACGUGUUUCCCCGUUGGUUUAUUUCCUCAUGUGUUUGCGGUGUUUCUGUCAUCGUCCGGAGACUCCGCCCUCUGCUGCUUCCCGGCCUUGUUGUCACUCACCUGUCAACUAUCAUCUCCCUGAUUGUGUGCCUGAUUUGUUUCUCCUGUGUCUCGCUAGUUUCCCCUUCUAUAUAUAGGUAUGUCUUUCUGUAGUCCCCUGUCGGAUUGUAGUUCAGCGUGUGAGAAUCUGUGCCUGAACCCUGCAUUUUUGAGUACCUGACACCGUAAAGAUUUUUUGAGAUUUCAGAUUAACGGUAUAACGGCAAAUAAACUUAAAGGAAGAGCGUCUUUUUUCUCCGCUGACAACCAGGAAAUGAUCAUGAACACAUAUGAUGAGAUAAUAUGUUCAUUUUAAUAAUUUCUGUCGGAUGAAUUUAAUGUAUGAUACAUAUUUUACGUUGUUCAUUCUAUACGUCCAUCGCAGUCUGUCCGUCCCUGGAGGAUCGUCCUGUGUCUCUCUAGCGGUUUCUUCCCUUUUAUUCUUCCCAUCAAAUACUUUUUCAUUGUUUGGGGAGUUUUUCCUGUGUCGAUGUGAAGGUUUCUGGACAGAGGACAUCACAUGUGUACAGACUGUAACGACCUCUGAGGCAAAUUUGCGAUAUUGUGCGAUACAAAAUAAAAUUAAAUGAAUCAUAUAAUCAAAACUGACAGCGCCCCCCCCUGCGAGGCUACAAACCCGACAAAUUAUCGUAGACAAGUUAACAAUAUGCGUGUUGGUAAAAUGUAACUGCUCAUUUAAGUGCCUCGUCACUCUAAAUCAGAUUAUAUUUCUUUAAAUGUGUCUGCUGGCAGGAGGCUUCAUGGAUGAUCAUCAUCCAAUGAGAAUAAUGAUCUCAACGCUUUCAGAGUAUGUAGAUGAAAACAAGCCCAAAGAAUCAAAUUGAUACGAAUGAAUAGGAUCUAUGUACCGUAUCAUCUUAUGUAUCAUAUGUAUGUAGAUGACCACAUAGAACUAGGAGUUUAUUAUGUGUGAGAAUCAUAUAUCCAUUGUUCAUAAUCAGACAUUUGUGGAAGUGUAUUAAGCAACAAAUAAACCAACAGAACGUUACGAAGAGCACGACAUGCAGCGGCUUUCCAGAUCGCAACACUGUACAGACAGGACAGCAUGAUGUCAGACACUGUGUGAGACAUGAGACAGUGUCGGACCGUAUGAGAGUGUGUGAGAUCGUAUGAGAGACGGUGUGUGAGACAGGGUGUGAGACAGUCCGUGGGACAGUGGACGCUCGGCUGCAGCGUGUGGUGUUCAUCACGUAACGAGGAAAUAUUGUAAAUAAAUGAUUCCUUGUCCUCAGCAUCUGUAGCGCUCGUACAGGACGUCAUAGAGGACAUAAACGGGUCUUUUAUCUCGGAGAAGUUUCUCCCUAUAAAACGUUAAUCUAACUGAUGUCGCUCCUUCAUCAAUGAGGAAGUGAGCUGCCCUUUUUUUCCGGGGAGUGUUGAACUAAUCCAGCAGCUCAGAUGAACCUGCGCCGGAGCACGUUCCAAGUUUGUCGAUGUGUUGCUGUGGUGAUUUAGACAAACCUGCUUCAGGGAACCGAAAAGCCUGAUCUACGUCAUCUCAUCCUGAAGAUUAUCCGGCUGACUCAGUUAGCCACGUACGAGGAACAGGGCCCUGGUCGGGAGCAGGUUUUUUUUCAAUAAACCUCAAGUUUCUUUACUCAGGCGGAUUUUAACGCAGUUUCCGCAUUUGAAAAAAUAAUAAUAAGAUCUCUGUAAUGUUAAAGACUAAAGUGUUUUCUCAAACAUGGCGCAUCCUUUUCUGGACGAUCCGGUUGAUGAAGAAGCGGUUUUACUUUGCAGGGGGUUAAACACGUCGGGAGAGAAUUUUGUCAGCAAAAUAUCAGUAAUAAUGAUAUAUUAUUUAUAUAGCGCUUUACAUGGUACUCAAAGACACUUUAAAGUAAAACCAGCACAGAUAUAGCACAAACAGAUAAGCAAUAAAACCAACAGAUAAAACAAGCAUAAAAUGCAAUUACAAACAAUAAAACCAGUUACUAUCAGAUUAAAAAUGGAAAGCUAAUCUGAAGAGAAUGGCUGAACAUUAACGAUUUGAGGCACUUUUCAUUUGGACAAGUACAUUAGCAUUUCACUUGUCUAUGCACAAAAGUUCGGGUACAGCUUCAUAAUGCUUAAUGUCCUUAACGGCUCCUUAAGGCUAAAAGGCCAACGUUAUCUAUGUGAACGAUAGCCCACAACCAGAGUGUUAAUCUAAAUCAUCGUAAGUGUGACAUGAAAUGACUUGUCUGAGAUGAAAAUACAUACCUCUAUACUUUCUCCUCCUCCUCUUUUCUUCGUUUUCGUCCAUCUGCACCAGAGAGUUUGGACCUUUUCAUAUUACGUUAGCUUGAUCUGAGAGUGCUCAUUGCCUUGCAACGCACGCAACCAUGAGGUCCGCUGCCCGGGAUCGUCGCCCCCCCCCCAAAAACAUAUUUCAACAUAUGGGCGGGGGGUGUUUCUUUGUUUCAAUGAUGGUUUUAUUUCAUUUUGUUUUGUUAAUCAAUGUUGUUGAGAGAAAGAUGUAUGCUAAUAUAGGGCUGGCCUGCAGGUGACUGUACAUAUACACUUGAUUUGGCCGUUUACAAUGGUUACUGACAUUUGAAACAAUUGUAAAUGGAGUUAUUCGAGUAAUUGUAGCAAACACUAGUCAACUUUAAUCAAAUUUAAACACAAUUUCCCAACAACAGUAAUUGUGGCUAAUGAAAUCGCUAUCCACAUCGCUAGCCACAGUGGCUGGUGAGCAAACAUCUUAAGGCCUGGUUCCCUCGCUUCUGACAGACGAGUGGCUUGUUUUUUUGUUUCUUAUGCCUAACUAUUCGUUUUGCACUUUUGCAAAACACCAAAGCUUCUUUUGCACUACUGCUAAAACUACUUUUUAUUAUUAAUUUUAUAAAUUUAUUUAGUAGUCAGGUGAAUGGAUCGGACGACGUGUGGGGUAGUUUGUCAUGACUUGGUCAAUUGAAAAGAUGCUCCAAGCCAAACAAGUGUUGGGUACCCCUGGUUUAGUAUAAAUAACCCCAGUAAACCAUUUUAACCCCGGUGUGUUCUACUUUUAUUAUAGCUCGGGCAAUGGUUUUAAAAGCUUCUGCUGCACGAUGAUAAAAAAAGUUGUUGAGGCUGAUCUUUUGGGAUUUUUGAAAAAAAUGGAGCAACGAAAAGCAAUACAAACAGGAUUAACAAACAAUUGUCAACUAUGAAAAUAAAAAAAAUUCUGUUCAAAUCAGUAUUUUUGGUUCAGUGUCUAAUCGACAGCCGUGCAGGUCAUUUCCUUCAGGGUCCAUACAGUAAAUGUCAGAGCCGGUCUCAGUAUCGAGUGGACAGGGUAAUGAGCCUCCGGCCUCCGAAUCGAUCAGCUCCUUAACAGGUACGAUGAUCACACAGUCCAGCGGCAUCCCAUUUUCUCCAUCAUGCCGUCCAGCUCCUGAGACGCUCUACCAUCUUUCUGCUCUCGAGUUGCCCCCCCACACCUCCCGGGUGCUCACAGUUGUCCAGGUUGGAUUGAAUUUAUAAUUCUGGUCGCAAACAGCUGCCUACCUUCACAUUCACGAGUUACUUUAUAUUUAUAUGCUACCCUACAGUGAGCGGGAGCAGCAGCCGUGCGCUGAACAAAAGGGGUAUCGCAGCAAGUCUGGCCGCUGUAUGGGAGCAUGUCUGGCGUGUGCGGGUGAGGAGUCGGUGUUUGUUCACCACGGGUGUUUCUACAGUUAAACUGUAUAUGGCACACCCCAAAAUGGGACCACAAUGAUGUUAAUUUUUUUUUCAAUAAGGUAUUGUUUAUUUUGAAUGAUGUAGAAGAAGUAAUAAUUAAAGCUUUUGCGUCCUGUGCAUUGGCUUUGCAUGGAAUCUGAAUCAUUUGUGUCGCUUGUGGUGUGAACGCAGCAUAAGGAGGGCUGCACUCUCUAUAGAGUAUUUCAUGCAUUUGCUAGUUUGCCCAAAAUAAGAGGUAAUUGGAUUUGCUUGUAUUUGCUCAAAAACCAAGCAAAAUGUAAUUCCAAUACGUCAGAUAAAUGUUGGGACUGCAACGUGAUCUCCAAAACCUGUUCUUAAAAAUGUAUACGAAAAUCUUGGACAUACAAAUUCGUAACAAUACAUACGAACUGGCGGUGGUUAACCACGCCCCCUUGAGAAAACAACAUGGCGGACCAUGUCGGAUUCUUGAGUGAACGUCUCUCCGCCAUGUUGGAUUUUUGGAGGGGGUUAGGGUUAGUAUUGUAUUCUUACGAUUUAACAUUGAUUUCUCGUUAAAAAUGCAAUCAUAACACGUUUAUUUGACAUGGUUACCCUUCACAAAGUGUGUUUACAGGGUGCAGGUCCCCAUUCACUUUGAAUAGGACUUCAUCAGUUGCAGUCCGUAUUUAUUUCGUAUGUAUCACUACGAAUUUGUACGUUCAAGAUUUUCGUAUACAUUUUUACGAACAGGUUUUUGAGGUUGUGGGGACUGACACGCCCAAAUCAGCUUGAUGUACCCAAUUAGCACAAUGCGACUAAAAGCUGUGUUGCUCUGGUUGGAGCUUAUUAACUCUUUCACUACUGUAGACAAUAGCUCUCAUUUUUCUGAGAAGGAAGGUCUUAACUUUGAUGUCCUUCCU